AACGAACGCUGGCGGCGUGCCUAACACAUGCAAGUCGAGCGCGAAAGAGCAAUCUUAGUAGAGCGGCGCACGGGUGCGUAACACGUGGGUAAUCUGCCUCGAGGUUUGGGAUAACCAUUCGAAAGUUUGGCUAAUACCGAUUAAGCUCACGGUGACUUCGGUCGCUGAGAGAAAAGGGGCCCGAAAGGGUCUCGCCACGAGAUGAGCCCGCGGCCCAUCAGCUAGUUGGUGAGGUAACGGCUCACCAAGGCUACGACGGGUAGCUGGUCUGAGAGGACGAUCAGCCACACUGGAACUGAGACACGGUCCAGACUCCUACGGGAGGCAG
rnacentral:rRNA from 1 species